rnacentral:rRNA from 1 species
GGACCCGCACAAGUAGUGGAGUAUGUGGUUUAAUUCGAUGAUACGCGAGGAACCUUACCAGGACUUAAAUGUAAGUUGCAUGAUUCAGAAAUGAAUCUUUCUUCGGACUACUUACAAGGUGCUGCAUGGUUGUCGUCAGCUCGUGCCGUGAGGUGUCAGGUUAAGUCCUAUAACGAGCGCAACCCCUAUCGUUAGUUGCCAUCAAGUAAAGUUGGGAACUCUAGCGAAACUGCCGGUGCAAACCGAGAGGAAGGUGGGGAUGACGUCAAAUCAUCACGGCCCUUACGUUCUGGGCUACACACGUGCUACAAUGGUCGGUACAGAAAGCAGCCACUAUGCGAAUAGGAGCUAAUCUAUAAAACCGGUCUCAGUUCGGAUCGGAGUCUGCAACUCGACUCCGUGAAGCUGGAAUC